AGAGUUUGAUCAUGGCUCAGAUUGAACGCUGGCGGCAGGCCUAACACAUGCAAGUCGAACGGUAACACAGAGAGGCUUGCUCUUGGGGUGACGAGUGGCGGACGGGUGAGUAAUGUCUGGGAAACUGCCCGAUGGAGGGGGAUAACUACUGGAAACGGUAGCUAAUACCGCAUAACGUCGCAAGACCAAAGUGGGGGACCUUCGGGCCUCACACCAUCCGGAUGUGCCCAGAUGGGAUUAGCUAGUAGGUGGGGUAAUGGCUCACCUAGGCGACGAUCCCUAGCUGGUCUGAGAGGAUGACCAGCCACACUGGAACUGAGACACGGUCCAGACUCCUACGGGAGGCAGCAGUGGGGAAUAUUGCACAAUGGGCGCAAGCCUGAUGCAGCCAUGCCGCGUGUAUGAAGAAGGCCUUCGGGUUGUAAAGUACUUUCAGCGAGGAGGAAGGCAUUAAGGUUAAUAAUCUUAGUGAUUGACGUUACUCGCAGAAGAAGCACCGGCUAACUCCGUGCCAGCAGCCGCGGUAAUACGGAGGGUGCAAGCGUUAAUCGGAAUUACUGGGCGUAAAGCGCACGCAGGCGGUCUGUCAAGUCGGAUGUGAAAUCCCCGGGCUCAACCUGGGAACUGCAUUCGAAACUGGCAGGCUAGAGUCUUGUAGAGGGGGGUAGAAUUCCAGGUGUAGCGGUGAAAUGCGUAGAGAUCUGGAGGAAUACCGGUGGCGAAGGCGGCCCCCUGGACAAAGACUGACGCUCAGGUGCGAAAGCGUGGGGAGCAAACAGGAUUAGAUACCCCUGGUAGUCCACGCCGUAAACGAUGUCGACUUGGAGGUUGUGCCCUUGAGGCGUGGCUUCCGGAGCUAACGCGUUAAGUCGACCGCCUGGGGAGUACGGCCGCAAGGUUAAAACUCAAAUGAAUUGACGGGGGCCCGCACAAGCGGUGGAGCAUGUGGUUUAAUUCGAUGCAACGCGAAGAACCUUACCUACUCUUGACAUCCAGAGAACUUAGCAGAGAUGCUUUGGUGCCUUCGGGAACUCUGAGACAGGUGCUGCAUGGCUGUCGUCAGCUCGUGUUGUGAAAUGUUGGGUUAAGUCCCGCAACGAGCGCAACCCUUAUCCUUUGUUGCCAGCGGUUCGGCCGGGAACUCAAAGGAGACUGCCAGUGAUAAACUGGGAGGAAGGUGGGGAUGACGUCAAGUCAUCAUGGCCCUUACGAGUAGGGCUACACACGUGCUACAAUGGCAUAUACAAAGAGAAGCGACCUCGCGAGAGCAAGCGGACCUCAUAAAGUAUGUCGUAGUCCGGAUUGGAGUCUGCAACUCGACUCCCAUGAAGUCGGAAUCGCUAGUAAUCGUAGAUCAGAAUGCUACGGUGAAUACGUUCCCGGGCCUUGUACACACCGCCCGUCACACCAUGGGAGUGGGUUGCAAAAGAAGUAGGUAGCUUAACCUUCGGGAGGGCGCUUACCACUUUGUGAUUCAUGACUGGGGUGAAGUCGUAACAAGGUAACCGUAGGGGAACCUGCGGUUGGAUCACCU
rnacentral:rRNA from 1 species